rnacentral:rRNA from 1 species
GAAAACAGUUACAUUGAAAUUCAGUUUUCCCUUGCCCGAUCCUGUCUGAUCUCGGAAGCUAAUCAGGGUCAGGCCUGGUUAGUACUUGGAUGGGAGACCACCGAGGAAGACCGGGUGCUGUAGGCA